GGGAUAAUAGUAUAGUGGUUAGUAUAUCUCCUUGUGGUCGGUCGAUACAGGCAUACGUCGGAGACGACCCAGGUUCGAUUCCUGGCUAUCCCA